AUGAAACAAUUCAUUCUAACACAAUGUCUGGUUUUCAGUGAGUCGGAGAAGAGAGUGACUGAUAAGAAGCCAACAGGAACGGUGUCGCCUCCGACAGGAAGUCCCACUCCAGAGCUCCGCCCUCAUCAGUGCAACACAACACAAUGGCCAGACACCUGGGUGUGGACACUUCCAUGCUCCGUAGAGCCAUCUGGAACUAUAUUCAGGGCAAGUUUGGGAUUCGGUCCAAGGCCAGGUGAAUCAUUAAAAAAAAGAAACACACUUCCACUUGUAUGUACGGAAUACGAUACGAUGACUACGGCUACAGCAGUGGGCGGUUUAACAUACGCUUCUGGCAUGUGUGCGCUGAGAUGCUGGACCAGAGGAGGACAGACAUGCUGUACGGACAUGCCGUCUCUCCACUACUCACAGUUUGCAUUCAUGCUGUCAAUGUACCAAGACCAGGCAAUCUGAACAAGUUGGUCUGAAAACGGUGUAUCCGGAGUGUAAAAGGGAUCGACAAGUAAAUGGACAAAUCCACAACAAUGUUAGCCAUGCCCAGUAAAUCUGCAUUCAUGCUGUCAACAUACCAGACUGGCCCUGUGGCGAUUGUAACUGAGAACGGAAUGUUCCUGCUUCAUGGAUUAGUCCACUUG
rnacentral:lncRNA from 1 species